rnacentral:rRNA from 1 species
UGAGUAACCUGCCCUUCACUCUGGGAUAACUCCGGGAAACCGGGGCUAAUACUGGAUAUGACUCGAACAGGCAUCUGUUUCGGGUGGAAAGAUUUAUUGGUGGAGGAUGGACUCGCGGCCUAUCAGCUUGUUGGUGAGGUAAUGGCUCACCAAGGCGACGACGGGUAGCCGGCCUGAGAGGGCGAUCGGCCACACGUGGGACUGAGACACGGCCCAGACUCCUACGGGAGCA